rnacentral:rRNA from 1 species
GCUUAACGGCCAGUACUCUGACUUGUGCAAAGGUAGCAUAAUCAUUAGCCUAUUAAUUGUAGGCUUGUAUCAACGGCUAGACGAUGGAAACACUGUCUCCUCUUUAGUGUCUUGAAUUUACUGUCUAAGUGAAGAAGCUUAAUGAGAGAGCGGGACAAGAAGACCCUAUAGAGCUUUAUUGUUUUAAAACAAAUUACUUAUUAAGAUGAUUUAGUUGGGGCAACUUCUCUUAGAUUAAAACAGGAGAAUGAUUCGUAUGAUUUAAAUCUAUGUAGACCCAAAAGAGUUUUGGAAAAUAAAACAAGUUACCUUAGGGAUAACAGCGUAAUUCUUUUUGAGAGUACUUAUUGACAGAAGAAGUUUGCGACCUCGAUGUUGGAUCAGGCAUACCUGGAUGUGCAGCAGCCUUUAACGGGGUGGUUUG